UGUGCAGGAAACCAUCGGAUUUCAGUUUCUAUAGUGUCGACAUUGCCGAUAAGUUUAACCGCAGUCCCAGCGAUAUAGCCCCUGUCAAAGCUCUUAAUUGCUGCUUUGGAAUCGCUAUAAAUGUAAGACCAUACCGGUUGCCCUAUA
rnacentral:lncRNA from 1 species